CUGGGCGUAAAGGAUGCGUAGGCUGGAAAUCAAGUCGAAAGUGAAAUCCAACGGCUCAACCGUUGAACUGCUUUCGAAACUGGUUACCUAGAAUAUGGGAGAGGUAGAUGGAAUUAGUGGUGUAGGGGUAAAAUCCGUAGAUAUCACUAGGAAUACCGAUUGCGAAGGCGAUCUACUGGAACAUUAUUGACGCUGAGGCAUGAAAGCGUGGGGAGCAAACAGGAUUAGAUACCCUGGUAGUCCACGCCCUAAACGAUGCACACUAGUUGUUGCCCUGCUAGUCAGGGCAGUAAUGCACUUAACAGAUUAAGUGUGCCGCCUGGGGAGUACGGUCGCAAGAUUAAAACUCAAAGGAAUAGACGGGGACCCGCACAAGCGGUGGAGCAUGUGGUUUAAUUCGAAGAUACACGAAGAACCUUACCUGGCCUUGAUAUCCUAAGAAUCCUGUAGAGAUACGGGAGUGCUAGUUUACUAGAACUUAGAGACAGGUGCUGCACGGCUGUCGUCAGCUCGUGUCGUGAGAUGUUGGGUUAAGUCCCGCAACGAGCGCAACCCUCGUGAUUAGUUGCUAACAGUUCGGCUGAGCACUCUAAUCAGACUGCCUUCGUAAGGAGGAGGAAGGUGAGGACGACGUCAAG
rnacentral:rRNA from 1 species